GCUGUGUCUGGAAAUGCUACAGGAAGCAAUAAGACUUUUACAGAGCCCUGAGUCAGCAGGGGAAAAGCUGAAGAAGCUGUAGAGAGUGGGAGAAAACUCUCUAGGCAGGGAGGUGUGGAGUAGGCCAUGACUAAGCAGGUGACGGAUUAUAAAAGCCAGCUGAGAAGAAGAUUCACCAGUGAAUGUUAGGUGCCUCACCAAAGAGAGAAGAGGAUCCCCGUCCACAGGAGUCCAACAACCCUGUUCUGAGCUGGGUUCAGCUGUUGUGAAUAUCAGUAAUAUGGAGAAGAAAAGUUGAGAGAGCUGCUGUAGAAGCAUAACUAGGACCCCAAAUGGCUUCUGCUAUUUCCAUCUGGAAUUCAUUAAAACACCUCAUUGUUGCAGUACUUUACUUAUUCCAAUCUAUGAAAACUUCCAACCAGCUCUAAUGGAAAACAAAGAAACUAAAGCAAGGUCAAUUUUAUGUUAAAGAAACAUGUGCUUAUCUCAGUUCCUGGGUGCUUGGAGAAUAUUGUGAGUAACGAAGAACCCUACCUCAUUGGGCUAAAAUCUGCCCUCAGAUGAACGCUCACUGUUUCCAUUGACAUUUAAGGCCACCAGCACCCACAAACUAAGCCCAACAACCAAAAUUAGACCAACGUCUUCUGAUGCCCAUGCCAGUAGUUUUGGAAAUAAAAUGACUCUCAGCUUUGUAAAUGUAUCCAUAGUUUCAUGGAUUUGUA